rfam:Beta vulgaris subsp. vulgaris chromosome 7, whole genome shotgun sequence.
GCUGCAGUAGCACAUUGGUUAAAUCUUCUAUGUCUUGAGAUUCCAGGUUCAAAUCCUGGCUGCGGCA